GUUUCGCCGUCACCGUCGCCGGUCUUCUUAUGACGUGUUGUUCACCACCACGAUUUCGGUUUUCGUUUCACAAUAGAUAUAUACUUAUAACUAUAUUAUAAUAUUAUUAUUAUUGUGUUCGGCGUGGAAUGGAUCCAACAAACGGCCCCUACGCGUCGAUGAUGAACGCCCGUCAAAACCGUCGUAUAACAUAUACGUGCGCGACACACACCUCGUGCGACAAGUACCUAUAGACAAUAUUAUGAAGGAGCACGCGACCGGGACUCGCCGAGCGACGUGUGUUCGUCUGCCGAGACGACGACGGAAGAGUCGUCGUCGCGUCGUUGGCGGUUAGUGCGGUACAUACAGAGUGAUUCACCAAGCAAACAUUUUUUCUUCGAUUGUGCAGAGUGUCUUGUGAUGGAGAUAAAAACGUUUGUUUUUCAAAAGAGAACCCGUGUGGAGACUUUUUUCUGAAAAUGCAGAUCAAUUUUCUGGAAAACUUGACGUCCCAAAAUCAAAAUUUGAAUGAGUUAUUUAACUUUAAGUACUAAUAAUAGUAUAAUAUAUUAAUAGGUUCAUGGGUUUGAAAGACAUUUUAGUAAAUAUAUUAAUCUAACAAUAUUUUUAAUUCGUAAAAAUGG